rnacentral:rRNA from 1 species
UACGUAGGGGGCAAGCGUUGUCCGGAUUUAUUGGGCGUAAAGAGCGUGUAGGCGGCUAGGUAGGUCCGUUGUGAAAACUCGAGGCUCAACCUCGAGACGUCGAUGGAAACCAUCUAGCUAGAGUCCGGAAGAGGAGAGUGGAAUUCCUGGUGUAGCGGUGAAAUGCGCAGAUAUCAGGAAGAACAUCAGUGGCGAGGGCGGGUCUCUGGGCCGAUAUUGACGCUGAGGAGCGAAAGCGUGGGGAGCGAACAGG